rnacentral:rRNA from 1 species
UGGGGAAUUUUCCGCAAUGGGCGAAAGCCUGACGGAGCAAUACCGCGUGAGGGAGGAAGGCUCUUGGGUUGUAAACCUCUUUUCUUAGGGAAGAAAAAAAUGACGGUACCUAAGGAAUCAGCAUCGGCUAACUCCGUGCCAGCAGCCGCGGUAAUACGGAGGAUGCAAGCGUUAUCCGGAAUGAUUGGGCGUAAAGCGUCCGCAGGUGGCAUUUCAAGUCUGCGGUCAAAGGUCGAGGCUCAACCUCGAACAGGCCGUGGAAACUGAAAAGCUAGAGUGUGGUAGGGGCAGAGGGAAUUCCCAGUGUAGCGGUGAAAUGCGUAGAGAUUGGGAAGAACACCGGUGGCGAAAGCGCUCUGCUAGGCCAAGACUGACACUGAGGGAC